rnacentral:tRNA from 1 species
GGUACUGUGGCUUAGUUGAUUAAAGCACUUCUCUUGUAAGCAGUGCAUCCUGGGUUUCAGUCCCAGCAAUACCU